UACAGAGGUCUCAAGCGUUGUUCGGAUUCAUUGGGCGUAAAGGGUGUGUAGGUGGCGCCGUAAGUCGGGUGUGAAAUUUCGAGGCUUAACCUCGAAACUGCAUUCGAUACUGCGGUGCUUGAGGACUGGAGAGGAGACUGGAAUUCAUGGUGUAGCAGUGAAAUGCGUAGAUAUCAUGAGGAAGACCAGUGGCGAAGGCGGGUCUCUGGCCCGAUACUGACGCUGAGGCACGAAAGCGUGGGGAGCAAACAGG
rnacentral:rRNA from 1 species